AGCAGCUUUGUCAGCACCACAUUCAGGAGCUACACUGAGCAAGACAGGGUGAACUCUGCUCCCUGCCAUCAUGCACGGGGGAUGCAAAGAAAGUGCAUAAAAAAUGAAUUUGAAGAUCCUUAACUGGGAGACAAACUACCCUGUCAUUCCAUCUGCACUGACCAAGAUAAACACAGGAAACACCUUUCUAGACUGAAGUGCUGAAGACAGCUGAGCACUGAGAUUUCCCUCUGACACCAUGACUGAUCACAGCCAAGCACCUUGUUGAGUGACGAAGAUAACUCUGGAGCCUAGCAGAUGGAGCUGCUAAGUAAUUCAGAAAUGAUAUCAAGCCAGACUCUCAUCUGGGAUUAUCUGCAUGAGAAGUCCAUUUUGGAUACAGACAUCAUAUUUUCCAUUUAUAAAAGUGGUCACAGAAAGUUAACAGUUCAUGCUAAAAUGGAAUGAAGCAGGUAUUUUUGUUCUUGUCACUAGGUGAGGUGAUGGAAUAAAUUAAAAUUUGCAACUCUGCUGGACAGAGCCCAAACAAAAGUCAAAAUGGGUGUAAUGGGGACA